rnacentral:misc_RNA from 1 species
CAAAAGAGGUCACGUGGAUUAUGUCCAUGGACGAUGAGCGAGCGCGAAGAGUGAUAAAUUGAAAAUUGAUUGUUUUAUUGAUGUUUUUCUAAACGUGAAUAAUUUUUGUGAAUCAGCUAAACCGUUCUUUUUGGUACUUGUUAUGUGGGCAUCGGUGAGACACAGUUAAGUGGAAUAAAAUAGGUUCUGUAUUACCUAUUAUUCAUGGGUUCUACCUGUAAAAAUGCAUAAAGCUGAAUAUCCGGUUUCCAAAUGAACUUCAAAUUUCGUAGAUUUUUGUUUUGAUUUUGCUGUAGUAGCCUAAAUUCGAUGGGCGUGGUAAAUAAACCAGUGUAGAUGAAAAGGUGAAAGGUGCUAAGGAUCAGCGUCAUUGUAAUAGCAUUUAUCGCUUUGGUAGUCAAUUGCGUUGAGUUGAUCUGCUCAAGAGGUUUGGAUUGGAAGUAAAAACUUCGAAUGGUCGUUGGCUAUUUGCCAAAGUUUGGUGCUCUUUUUCAAAGUCCCGGGUUUUUUAUUAGGUGAAAACCGAGACGGGGCCGAUUAAUGUAUUAUUCGAUCUCACAGAAGUAAUUUGGGGAUUAGAGGUGAAAGCAGUAAUAUUAUUUUUACUACUGUGAAAUUGAUAUUGCUACAGGAUCUUUUUACCUUUUUGAUUUCCUCUUUUGUGUACGGUUAAGUAGGAGAACCGGAAGUUUUGCUAUCUAAAAAGUAGUAGUGUAAACCUAGACAGAAUUAAUGCGCUUGUCGUAUAGAAUUUUAUCAGAACGUAUUUACCAUUCUCGCAAUUUAUAAACAGGUAAUAAAAGAUGUUCGGUAAAAAGAAGGAAAAAAAAGUUAAGGUGGAAAUAUCCCGCCCGAUGGACUUUGAACAUCGGGUUCACACAGGAUUUGACUAUAGACAUGGUGAGUAUGUUGGUCUUCCACCUCAGUGGGCAUCGCUAUUGUCGAGCACAAGUUCCCGACCUAUACCAGUCAUUGAUCCUUGUUCAAUUACACCAACGGAUAUGGCUCCGUUGAAGCAAAUCGUCCGAGGAGGAACUGCACAUACAGGGAGCUCGUCCAAGCCUGUAUCUGUUGCGCGAUCAAAUUCGUUACGAAGUGAUAACCAACCGCAAGCUCCUCGGACUUCACAAUAUCAACCAUCUCAGCCCACUUUGCACGAACAUAAUAAUGGUUUUAAUGGACAAAGGAGCGACCCUUAUAGACAGGAUAGAAUUGACAGCCACAAUGCCUAUCCAAACUACUCAACGAACGAACGAUAUGAACAACGACCAACUGCGGCAAGUCCGCCACACAAUAAUUAUAUGCACACACCACCAAGGCAACAGCCGGCGGAUUAUACGGAUGCCUACGGCUAUGGAGCAAAACAACAAAAUCGUCCUCCAAGAACAUUGGAACAGCAGCAUUCUCCCCAAUAUUCUACUCAGUCCGGAAACAGCGGCUCGUAUAACCCUUAUAACAAUAACAACGGCCAACCAACACCACAACAAUACUACGAUAAUCAUGUUUCUACUACUGAACGUCCUAUGUUGUCACCGUCUGGAAAUAUGUCAUCAACGCCACAUAGUCCAACAUCCCCUACUAACACUUUACCCGCUUCCCCUGCAAGUCCGUACGGAGACCAAAGAUACUCACACGAGCAGUUCCGUACAGCUUUAAAAAUGGUUGUUAAACCUGGCGAUCCUCGGUCACUUUUUGAUAAUUAUACAAAAAUUGGUGAAGGUAGUACCAGUAUAGUUGAAACUGCCAGACGAAGAAGUUCUGGCGAAGUAGUAGCCAUUAAGAAGAUGGACUUGCGACGUCAACAGCGUCGUGAGCUUCUUUUUAAUGAAGUUGUAAUCAUGCGAGAUUAUCAACAUCCUAAUAUCGUCGAAAUGUACGAUAGUUAUGUUGUAGAAGAUGAAUUAUGGGUUGUUAUGGAAUAUUUAGCUGGUGGUGCCCUAACCGAUCUGGUAACGAAUGUUAAGAUGAACGAAGAGCAAAUUGCAACUGUUUUAAAAUCUUGUUUAAAAUCUUUGGCGUAUUUGCAUUCGAAUGGUGUCAUUCACCGAGACAUUAAGAGCGAUUCUAUUUUAUUAGCUCCCGACGGUAGAAUUAAGUUGUCAGAUUUCGGCUUUUGUGCUCAGAUUUCUCAUGAGCUGCCUAAAAGAAAGAGUUUAGUGGGCACACCUUAUUGGAUGGCACCGGAAGUUAUUUCUAGGUUACCCUACGGAACCGAAGUAGACAUUUGGUCAUUGGGUAUUAUGCUUGUUGAAAUGGUAGAUGGUGAACCACCUUUCUUUAAUGAACCACCUUUACAAGCAAUGCGUAGAAUUCGCGAUAUGCCACCUCCUAAAUUAAAAAAUCCUACAAAAGUCUCUCCAAGGUUGCAUGCCUUUUUAGAUCGCAUGUUGGUGAGAGAUCCUACGCAAAGGGCAACUGCUUUUGAACUACUACAACAUCCGUUUUUAAGACAAGCUAGUAACCAAUCUUGUCUAAGGCCCUUAAUGAGAUCUCCCGCUUCUUCCGUUCAACAACCACUUCCACAUCAUGAUUUGAAACACCAUCACGCUUAUGCCCAACCUAGAAUGUGAAAGGAGUGAGUUAAGAUAAUAUUAUUUGUUAUUCGACUGUAGUUGUCUAUUAGUUUGUUUUUUAGCAUGAUGAGCAGGCACUUGAAGAGGGUAUAAAACUGUGAUUAAAUAUUGCUCAUAUCAAUCUAAAAAAAAGAAAAACAUAUCAAUUUCUGCCUAACACUUGUAGAGUUGAUUAACCUGCUUUAAUUCUUGCAUAAGCACAUGUGUCAAUUAACAUAUCGAUAUAUAUAUAUAUGUAUAUAUAUAUAUAUAUAUAUAUAUAUAUACUUUUAGUAUAUAUGUGCAUACAUAUACUCAUCAUUAGAAAUUGUACAGGUAUACAAAAUAAUCCGUCUUCGUUUUUUUAUUAUUAAAACAUCAUGUCAACUUUUUUCGUUCUGUUUUCAAUUUGGUGCCUUUUUGAUAUUUGCACUUGUUUGUACGUUAUCUAUUCUAUCUCUAAUGUAUACCCAGAAUGUUAUAUUUUAUGCUGUAUAUGAAUGUAUAUAACCUAUAUGUUGAAUACGUUUUUUAAUGUAGUUUGAAAACUAAUUUGCAUAAGGAAAUGAGGGAUAUAUCUUUAUAUUCGUUCUUGACGACGUUAAGAAUACAUAUUCUUUAGAAUGAAUGAAUUAAAAAAAAAAUUUUAUAAGUAACAACAACAAUGUGCGAUUUUUAUAAUGUGAUCAAACUGACAAUCAUCAAUCUAAGAUAAAAUGCAAUCACGAAAACAGCAGAGUCAUCAAUUUUAAUGUUAACCAAUAAUAAAAGAAAUGGAAACAUAUUUCAUUCCUUAUCAAUCAACUGCCUUAUAACCCGGUUUAUUAAGUGUUUUACUAAUAAAAUAAGCAAAAAUAAUUAUGAUGAUGAAAAUUCCAAGGGAAGAGGCAACAACCAGAGGUACAAUAUUCUGUUUUGCUUGUUUAUUGGCGACGUCCGCUGGACAGUCGUGACCUGUUAUAUUAAUAUUUAUUCUUUGUUUAUAUAAAGUCUUAUGCUUUCCUUCUAUUUGCUUUUUUCUUUUAACUAUAUUAUACUCUUUGUUUGUUUAUUUUUAAUAAAUUGAUUAAAGGAAGAAAGGUUUGAAAGUGUAACACUUACUUUUUAAGAAUUUGCCACUCUCCGGUACGUUGAACGGUUGAAAUCGUACAUUUUUCAAAUGAAGCUUAGCAUUUUUAAACUGACUGGUUUUUUU